rnacentral:misc_RNA from 1 species
GUCGUCCCACUCGCUUCAACCGCGUCCACGACAAGUGGGGGCGACUGUGACGUCGUGGUGCAACGGCUCGCCGCGUAUGCGCCGAGUCCAGAGGUCAAAUCUUGCUUAUGCGCACCGGCCGCGCCCACGCGUUCUUUAAUUCUUAUAAACUUUAAUUUCUUAUGUACUUAAUUGUUGUACUUUAAAGUCAUUAUACGUAUUUACAUGUUAUACAGUCCACUAGUAUUAUUUACUCCACCUGCUGAACUAUCGUCGCAACAUAUGGUCCUUCUCCCAAGAAAAAUUGAACUGGACAAAGAAGACAAAGGACUUUGGAGGACAUCGUACACGUCACCGAGUGACUCAGUGAUUAUUAUCAAGUUUCUUCGCUGUGAACAUUGUUACGUCGUGAUAUAUCGGCACGGCUUGAGACUUUUCGGCCGUCUUAGCUGACGUCACCCAACUGACACGAGAAGAAACGGAAUUUGGGCUACUCAUCAUUCGUCAUCAUAACGGACAGCAAAUACACGUGUUCGGAUUGUCGUCGUGCAUUGAGAUAUCUGACAAGAAUACUCCUCGGCACAGUCAUCAUCAGUGGUUUGCACCGGAAAACAGUGAGCUCGUUCCAAUUCCUUAUUUAAUCAUCUCAUCAUCAUAAUCAUAUUCAUUAUCAUCCAUAUCCUGCAUUUCAUUCAUUUUUUACCUCAUAAUAAUUAAAGAACGGUGUUACAUUUUUGCAAGUCAUCUCCACAUUAUUUCAUCAUAUUUCAUCCCAUUUUACCAUUUAUUUCAACUGUUUCAUCUCUUCAUUCAUUCAUUUCACUAUAAGUUAAUCAUAUCCAUUGCAGUGUCGUUUUAUAUUUCAGCCAAAAUCGAAUAAGUAUUAUUUUGUAACGUUAACAUUACGCAGCGAUUAUAUCAGUGCACAAACGCCUUGCAUUUUUAAAUAGCAAUACACAUUCUGCUACAAUCUUGCUCGUGCACUUUAUCUUGCAACUCGUUGCUAUUAUUUUAUUAGAAGGGUUUAACUUGCUGUUAGUUUAUAUAUUUCCUUAGUGCUUCAUUACAAAAAUCUAUCGCCUUCUCUUAAAAUGUCUGACAUUAAAAGCCUUAUGAGGAAACGUGCUUCAAUUAAAGCAAAGCUUACGCAAUUCUCUUCAUACUUAAACAUUGCUAAGUCAUGUGAACAGUUGAGCGAAGUUCAGAUUGUUGAGGUUGAGUAUAGACUUAAUACUAUCGAAAAUCUAUAUGAUAAAUACGACGUGUUACAGGCCGACAUGGAAGAGAUGGUGGACGACCCUAGCGAGCAAUAUGCGGAGCGUGAGGAGUUCGAAAAGCAGUACUACAGCUUGGUGGCUGCAGCACGUCAGCUGAUCAGCAAUGCUCGCAAGCAAGCUUCAGGGAACUCCAUAGCCGAGCGCUGGUGAAUGUGUCGGAUGCUGAAGGCAACGCUCACACCGCGCGAAUCCUGCUGGAUAACGGGAGUACGACUAACCUUAUAUCACAGGAGUUGGCUCGUAAACUUAAUAUUUCCACCUAUACAGUCGAGUCUAAGGAUACCUCGGUGGAUCACGUGUGAACUAUCGUCGUCUGUGCAGUUGCAUGUGUUCACCGACGCGUCUGAAAGGGCGUAUGGUGCUUGUUUGUAUUUCCGCAGCGUAUCGCUUAGUGGACGGAUCGUUAAGGUGCUUCCUGGUAGAGACGGCAUUGCACGAGUCGCCGACAUCCGCACACGUAAGGGUGUCAUUCGGCGAGCGUUCAACACUAUUUGCCCGUUACCCGUCGCCACUGCUGUUGAAGACACUUCAACGGGGGGAGUAUGUUGAGUCGUCCCACUCGCUUCAACCGCGUCCACGACAAGUGGGGGCGACUGUGACGUCGUGGUGCAACGGCUCGCCGCGUAUGCGCCGAGUCCAGAGGUCAAAUCUUGCUUAUGCGCACCGGCCGCGCCCACGCGUUCUUUAAUUCUUAUAAACUUUAAUUUCUUAUGUACUUAAUUGUUGUACUUUAAAGUCAUUAUACGUAUUUACAUGUUAUACA